rnacentral:lncRNA from 1 species
GAUCUAAGUGUCCCGAUCAACUUUUGUGAAGACACCGACUCGACAAUCAUAGCACAAAAAUCAUGAAAAAUGAACAAGCAUCAUAGGUCCGUGAAAACUGAACAUCCAACAUAACAUUAUCAGUUUCAAAAUCAGAUUCUGAUCUUGCAGCAAGCAUGUGACAGGGCAAAUUGUGGCCAAAUCGAGCAUAUAAUAUAUCUAUGGAAAGUUCAUGAAGUCUACUUCGAAUCAUGUGAAGACAAACCUAAAUAGGGUCAUCUAGUAGCUCAUUUCAAUAUGUUUAUCAUAUUAGUCAAAACAGAUCUACGAAUUUCCAGAACAAGUAACUAUGCAACACCAAGCUAUCAGUCGAUCAUCAAUCAUCUCAAAUCAUUACAACUCAUCAUAGCUCAUCAAAAUCAUUGAUCUAAACAUGUAAUAGCAACCUAGGGUUCGAAUCAAAGCCCCAAUCGCCUAUGGUAAUCUCGCCUCAUCAUAUUCAAGUUUAGGAUGUCUACCUUUGUUGUCUUCGAACUUGAGCUCAAAUGACCUAUUCCAGCCAUCGAAUAACACCUCAAAAUGGUUCAAUGUAGCUCAACAAUGAUUUAGAACAAAUGAUAAAAUCUCAAGUUAGAAUCAAACUCAAUCAAGCGAAGAAAUGAUUAAAGAAGGAGGAUCAAGUAAAGUUUAGGAAGAUUGACGUCGAUCAGUGGAGCUUCGAAUGAACACCAUGCCACUACAAGCUCGGCAACUCAUUGAAGAACACUGUCGCAAGGCUAAGGCCACUGGAUGAGAUCAUUAGACCACUGAAACAGGUGAUCAAAGUCGCUAGAAGAACACUGGCAUGAGACACAGCCUCUUGGCCUGAGGGGAAUAGAUUGCCAAUCACAGCCCACCGGUGAGGGAUGGCGCCGGUGAAGCUUGCGACUGAAGAGGGGAGGCUUCAGUGGAUUACUAGAGAGGGCGUCGGAGUGUGGUGGUCAGCAGCCAAAGAGGCUACAAGAGAGAGAGAGAGAGAGAGAGAGAGAGAGAGAGAGAGGAUCUGAAAAAUGAG